rnacentral:lncRNA from 1 species
CCCAGCAAAGAAUAUUAUGACUAAGAUAAUGUAAAACAAAUUAUUCUUAGUCCUCAAUAGGGAAAAAUCUGAUAGAAUACAAUAGACAACAAAUUUUAGAUCAACAACUGCAGCGAAAAUAACAAUUCAUUAGAAAAGUCAAGUAGAGCAUGAUGUCUACUAUCUUCUAUGAUUUAAAAUUCCAUCAUCAAUAUUUUAUCCCUAUAACACCAAUAAAUAGUUAUUUCCAAUCAACGAAUUAUCUAUGCACUACAUGCCAAAGACAAUCCUUUGUAUCACCAGUGGUCAUGAUCAUGCCAAACACAUGUCCAUCUAUGCACUACGUACGGGCCAAAGAGGACUUUCACCACAAACCUUUGCCUGUAACAUUAAAGGUCAUGAUUAUACCAAUACACAAUUCCUGGUCAUAAUCAUACCAAUCAACAAUUCAUCGUUGCACUACAGGCCAAAGAUGACUUUCACCACAAUAUAAGCAUGAGGAUGAUGACAAUGAUAUAAAGAGUGAAUCAAGUGAGAUCAAGGAUAAUUAUUAGGGAUUUAUAAUUUAAUUUAUCCAGUGUUCAAGUAUGUCCAAAUUGUCAACAUGAUCUGUAAUUGUGGAGUAAAAUUCAAGAAUGAUAUUUAAGAUUUAUAUUUAAAAAAUAAUUUGGACAAGAAAAGAAAAUUAAAUUCCGCGUGAAUAGUACUCCGGUGUAAAUUGUAUCCCGGAUGAAUAGUACUCCGGUAUAAAUAGUAUCCCGAAUGAAUAGUACCCUGACAUGAAUAGUACCCCGGGUGAAUAGUACCCAUAGAUGAAAAGAUUAAAAUUUAAUAAGAAAGUUCCAACCAGGAUUCUAGUGAAAUGAUAUUAGAUGAAGCGCAAACCUCAAGGAAUUUCUAAUCAUUUCAAGAAUUAUAGAAGCAAUACUUACCACAGUAAGUUUAGAUUUAGGAAUAUGAAAUGAAAUAAUAUCACUUACAUAAUAUGGAGUAUAAAAGAAUAUACAAAACUGCAAAUAGAUUUUCACCCGUCAUGCGAUAAUCCGUGUAGACAAAUCAUUUCCACAACUUAAUAAAGAAUGAAUACGAAGGGUUAUUCACCAGGCAUGCGGUAAUCCGUGUAAAUAGGUUAUUCCCACUAUUUAAUAAGGAAUAGAAUGACAACCCUUAUGAGUAUGAAUAAAAUAACAUCCUUUACCUUAAUAAAAGACUAGAUACUGCAAUAGUUUAGUAGCAAAAAUUUGUGUUGGUGGUGUGUGCUUGCUUCUCGAAUACUCUUCUUCUUUGUCUCUUAUUCUCUCUCUAUAGUUUUCUCUUGUAAGUCUUAGUCAAUUAGUGAGAAAGAAGGAAGAAAAGAACUUCUAUUUAUAGAAGAAUUCUAGCUUAGCCCUUGCAAUUUGAAGAGGUAAAUGGCUUUACGCUUAUAAUGUGAAAAGGUAAGUGGUUUGACGCCUAUAAUAUGAAAAGGCAAGUGGUUUGACGUCUGAUAAAUGCAAGUACUUUUGGUGAAAGUGACUCUUAGAUGAUGACCUAUGGGUUCCAUAGAAUAAGCCAAAGUUACAAACUGCCACAUAUCACCAUUAUUUCCUUCGAGUGUCGGCAACUUCUUACUAAUGGUUAUGCUACGCAUCACAUAAUUAAUUAACACCUUUUUAAUCCUUCAAUAAUUAUUCAUCAUUAAUAUUAUAACUCACAAUAUUGACAACCGAUCGUUCCCAGGAAAGAGGGGGCUUUCCGAUAAGGAUGUCUCCUUACUAAUGCACAAUUAAAUAACAUAACCCCUUUACUCAACAGAACUUUCUAGACAUUAUCAAUAAUGCUAAUAAUAAUAUGAGUAACUGUGUCGUAUCAAUUAUUAAUUUAAUAAUAUAAAAUAUUGUGCAGAUGUUACUGUAACAAUUAUUGAAUCAAUAAUAUGAGAUACUAUACAACAACUACUAUGGAAAUUAUUGAAUGAAAUACUGAGUGACUUCUUACGUAAGAAUCAAUAAUCAUAGAUAUCGUGCAAUACCAUGUGCUAUUGUGCAACAAUGCGUAUUACUGUACUUUUAUAAUCGAGUAUUUCAACAGUUUAACGGUAAAAGUUUUGCCGUUAUUUUUAUAAAAAGGUUAUUUCUGUCGCUUUCUAUAUUCGAUAAUUAUUCCGGUGUGGGGUCCACUAAUAAUUGCGCCAUCGUACGAAUAUUCCCCAACAAAAAGAUUAUUCCAUGACCAAACGAAUAUUUUAUGACAACUUGCUUAUUUUGUAAUAUUUGCACAUAUCACCUAUAACUAUAGCAUUUAUUAAAUUAUCACCUUACUAUUUAGAAGAAAAUAUAUAAAGAAAAUCAAAUUUUAUUCAUAAAAAGUUGGGGUCUUACAGUAAUAGAAAUGGAGGAUUCUAAGUUGAUGUAAAAUAACAAUAUACUUUUUCUUGGGUUUCAUUGAAGCUAAACUAAUAUGCUACUUCAAGACCCAACAAUCUCACCAUCAUCUAACAAUCUAAAGCCCCAAAAAGACAAUUAAUAAACUACAAUAGUUUUUAGUGAACAAAUAAAUUUCUAGAAGUAACAGAAAUUAAAACUUACCGUUUUGAAGAUAAGGGCCAUAUUAAGUGGUGGAGAGAUGCAUCUUGAUGUCAUUUAGGGUUUUGCAUUAGCACAAAUUGUUGUACUUUGAAUUUUAGGAUUUCCCAAUAUGAACUUGGGGUAGAACUAAGAUCCGAAUAAAUAAUAAAAACUUCCUACAUGCCAUAUUAUGAAUUGCAGUCCCCAUAAAAAUAAAAAUACAUGAUACUCUUAUCAUUUAAAGAGCUAAAAACAAGUCAGAUCGUGGAAGAAAAUCAAAAAAUAAAGCAGCGGAAACAAUAUAAAUAUAAAAACAGAGGUCAUCAUCGAGAACAUAAAAAGAGAUAAAGCGAAGAACUGAAUUAAAAAUAAGAAAAAUAGAAAAGUGCAGACCUCUGAUUCGAUCAAGGAAAACGGAACCAGGAGAAAAUGACAGCGGUGAUGAGAAAAGAAUGGAUCUGGUGCCAUCAGAAAAUGAAUGGAUAUCGUUGAUUGGAUAGCUUGAGAUAAAGACCGAUGAUGCUCGACUGGAAUCCCUGAAACUCUUUGCAUCUUCUGUCUUACCCUUUAUACUGAAUAUCUUCUGUCUUAUUUUAUUCUAAUCUUAUCUCUCAUCGAGUUAACUUCGAUAUCUUCUUCCAAAUCAUUCCCAAAGUCAACUAUCUGUCUUUUUAUUUUCU